rnacentral:misc_RNA from 1 species
AAGUCGUAACAAGGUUUCCGUAGGUGAACCUGCGGAAGGAUCAUUAUUUGAUCUGGAAGAGGAGGCAUUUGCAAAAAUGCCGCCUUUUUUGCUUUGUGAACUGAAUUUGUACUUUUGUAUUUUUUUUUUCUUUUUGAUGCUUUCUUCGGAAAGCUGAAAAUAAAGACAACUUUCAGCAAUGGAUCUCUUGGCUCUU